AAUUUCACCUCUAACAACAAAAAUAACAGGAGGCAACAACUGAAAGACCCCCAGAGCAGGGAGACCCUCACUCAAGUCUUGGGAUGAUGCAGCCCCACAAGAACUCAUGAGAGA
rnacentral:pre_miRNA from 14 species